AUGACCUAAGCACAACACAAUGAAAGGUCCAACAGUACACAACAUUAUCCAUGAAUAAACCAUGGACACACUAUGAAAGGUUCAACCACACACAAUGAAGUACUAGCCAAUAACAGAGCCUACCGAGUACAACGAGGCCACUUUCCCUUCCUUAGGGCAUCGGGGUUCUCCUCGGUCGCUGCUUUCGCUCGGCGUGCACGCUCAAGCUUCCUCUCCCUCUUCUCCCUCUCCGCAGCAAGACUUCUCCUUUCCUCCUCUUCCUUGUGUUCCUUCUCUGCAGCCUCCUCUCUGAGCCUCUUCUUCA
rnacentral:lncRNA from 1 species